CCUACGGGAGGCAGCAGUAGGGAAUCUUCCACAAUGGGCGAAAGCCUGAUGGAGCAACGCCGCGUGGGUGAAGAAGGUCUUCGGAUCGUAAAACCCUGUUGUUAGAGAAGAAAGUGCGUGAGAGUAACUGUUCACGUUUCGACGUUAUCUGACCAGGAAGCCCCGGCUAACUACGUGCCAGCAGCCGCGGUAAUACGGAGGGGGCAAGCGUUAUCCGGAUUUAUUGGGCGUAAAGGGAACGCAGGCGGUCUGUUAAGUCUGAUGUGAAAGCCCUCGGCUUAACCGGAGUAGUGCAUUGGAAACUGGGAGGCUUGAGUGCAGAAGAGGAGAGUGGAACUCCAUGUGUAGCGGUGAAAUGCGUAGAUAUAUGGAAGAACACCAGUGGCGAAAGCGGCUCUCUGGUCUGUAACUGACGCUGAGGUUCGAAAGCGUGGGUAGCAAACAGGAUUAGAUACCCUUGUAGUC
rnacentral:rRNA from 1 species